rnacentral:lncRNA from 1 species
UUCCACGGCAGCCCGACCACAUACCUCCACGGUUUUACCUCUAGAUCGCGUUUCUGCGGAGCUCGGGCGGAGCCCUGCUGAGAUUAGAUCACCACCAACCUCCGGAGCGCCGUCACGCUGUCGGAGAACUCAUCUACCUCUCCGUCUCUCUUGCUGGAUCAAGAAGGCCGAGAUCAUCGUCGAGCUGUACGUGUGCUGAACGCGGAGGUGCCGU